rnacentral:rRNA from 1 species
UACGUAGGUGGCAAGCGUUGUCCGGAAUUAUUGGGCGUAAAGCGCGCGCAGGCGGUUCCUUAAGUCUGAUGUGAAAGCCCACGGCUCGACCGUGGAGGGUCAUUGGAAACUGGGGAACUUGAGUGCAGGAGAGAAGAGUGGAAUUCCACGUGUAGCGGUGAAAUGCGUAGAGAUGUGGAGGAACACCAGUGGCGAAGGCGACUCUUUGGCCUGUAACUGACGCUGAGGCGCGAAAGCGUGGGGAGCAAACAGG